UAAAAAUAUGUGUGUUUCGCGCGUAUAUGCCUGAGAAUAUGGCUCAGGUGUCUCUACCAGGCAACCGUAAAUUGCUUGACUACGUGCGGAGAAACAGGAAUG
rnacentral:ncRNA from 2 species